UUAGCUAGUUGGCAGGGUAACGGCCCACCAAGGCGACGAUGACUAGGGGAUCUGAGAGGAUGACCCCCCACACUGGUACUGAGACACGGACCAGACUCCUACGGGAGGCAGCAGUAAGGAAUAUUGGUCAAUGGAGGGAACUCUGAACCAGCCAUGCCGCGUGCAGGAAGACAGCCCUCUGGGUCGCAAACUGCUUUUAUUCGGGAAUAAACCUGCUUACGUGUAAGUAGCUGAAUGUACCGAAGGAAUAAGGAUCGGCUAACUCCGUGCCAGCAGCCGCGGUAAUACGGAGGAUCCAAGCGUUAUCCGGAUUUAUUGGGUUUAAAGGGUGCGUAGGCGGCUUAUUAAGUCAGGGGUGAAAGACGGUGGCUCAACCAUCGCAGUGCCCUUGAUACUGAUGAGCUUGAAUACACUAGAGGUAGGCGGAAUGUGACAAGUAGCGGUGAAAUGCAUAGAUAUGUCACAGAACACCGAUUGCGAAGGCAGCUUACUAUGGUGUGAUUGACGCUGAGGCACGAAAGCGUGGGGAUCAAACAGGAUUAGAUACCCUGGUAGUCCACGCCCUAAACGAUGAAUACUCGCUGUUAGCGAUAUACAGUUAGCGGCUAAGCGAAAGCGUUAAGUAUUCCACCUGGGGAGUACGCCCGCAAGGGUGAAACUCAAAGGAAUUGACGGGGGCCCGCACAAGCGGAGGAGCAUGUGGUUUAAUUCGAUGAUACGCGAGGAACCUUACCCGGGCUUGAAAGUUAGUGAAUUAUCUAGAGAUAGAUAAGUGAGCAAUCACACGAAACUAGGUGCUGCAUGGCUGUCGUCAGCUCGUGCCGUGAGGUGUUGGGUUAAGUCCCGCAACGAGCGCAACCCCUAUGUUUAGUUGCCAGCACGUUAAGGUGGGGACUCUAAACAGACUGCCUGUGCAAACAGAGAGGAAGGAGGGGACGACGUCAAGUCAUCAUGGCCCUUACGUCCGGGGCUACACACGUGCUACAAUGGAUGGUACAGAGGGCAGCGAGCUAGUAAUAGCAAGCGAAUCUCAAAAAGCCAUUCACAGUUCGGAUAGAGGUCUGCAACUCGACCUCUUGAAGUUGGAUUCGCUAGUAAUCGCGUAUCAGCAAUGACGCGGUGAAUACGUUCCCGGGCCUUGUACACACCGCCCGUCAAGCCAUGGAAGUUGGGGGUACCUAAAGUACGUAACCGCAAGGAGCGUCCUAGGGUAAAACCGAUAACUGGGGCUAAGUCGUAACAAGGUA
rnacentral:rRNA from 1 species